CCUUUUUUAUUGAAGCCCUUUGCUGAAAUUGAAGAAACUAGAAUCAUGUCUUAGUAUUUGUAAUAUGGCUGGCAAAGUAAACACAAGAAGGAAAAACAAGGCCAGGCGUGGUGGCACACAC
rnacentral:snoRNA from 1 species